rnacentral:lncRNA from 1 species
GCCCCAGCGGGUAUGCUGUCGCGCAGCGAAGCACCCAGGCUGAUUUGCCUUGGGCCGGCAGGUUUAGUCGCAUGCAUCCGGAAGGCCAGCCCCAGGGGGUAUGCUGUCGCGCAGCGAAGCACCCAGGCUGAUUUGCCUUGGGCCGGCAGGUUUAGGUCGCAUGCAUCCGGAAGGCCAGCCCCAGGGGGUAUGCUGUCGCGCGGCGAAGCACCCAGGCUGAUUUGCCUUGGGCCGGCAGGUUUAGGUCGCAUGCAUCCGGAAGGCCAGCCCCAGGGGGUAUGCUGUCGCGCAACGAAGCACCCAGGCUGAUUUGCCUUGGGCCGGCAGGUUUAGGUCGCAUGCAUCCGGAAGGCCAGCCCCAGCGGGUAUGCUGUCGCGCGGCGAAGCACCCAGGCUGAUUUGCCUUGGGCCGGCAGGUUUAGGUCGCAUGCAUCCGGAAGGCCAGCCCCAGCGGGUAUGCUGUCGCGCAGCGAAGCACCCAGGCUGAUUUGCCUUGGGCCGGCAGGUUUAGUCGCAUGCAUCCGGAAGGCCAGCCCCAGCGGGUAUGCUGUCGCGCAGCGAAGCACCCAGGCUGAUUUGCCUUGGGCCGGCAGGUUUAGGUCGCAUGCAUCCGGAAGGCCAGCCCCAGG